rnacentral:rRNA from 1 species
UACGUAGGUGGCAAGCGUUGUCCGGAAUUACUGGGCGUAAAGAGCGCGCAGGCGGCUGGUCAAGUCCGAUGUGAAAGCUUCCGGCUUAACUGGGAAAUUGCAUCGGAAACUGAUCGGCUUGAAGGUGGGAGAGGGUAGUGGAAUUCCCGGUGUAGUGGUGAAAUGCAUAGAUAUGUCACAGAACACCAAUUGCGAAGGCAGCUUACUAAAGUAUGAUUGACGCUGAGGCACGAAAGCGUGGGGAUCAAACAGG